UCCCCCCUGAAGCCCCUAAUUUUCCCCCUAAAAAUAAUCACCUCAGCACACUAUUACUCCCUCAGCUCUGCGCGAAAUCCUAAAGCAAUGCCUCCCAAAGUAGCUAAAUCCCUAGAAACAACGAACUCGCCUUCAACCUUCUUCUUCAAACCAGUUCCCCCUCUCUCUCUUGCUCUCUCUUUGCUUUUUUGCCUGAUUUUUUUUGUUUUUUUCUUAGAUGAGUCCCUGGAUGGUUGGAGUCUUAUUGUUUCAACAAGGCAAGUGGGUGUUCCAGAUCCAUCAUUGAAGCUGGAAAUACAUAUUUCCAGGAUUUUAGGCAGUUUUUCUUGGUCCUUUGUUUCGUAGACAUCUUCAAUCCAUGAAUUCUUGAACAUAUGGGCCCUUAAGGAGUAUCUGGAAUAUGAGAUGAGAAUCCCCAAUCCUCCUUUUGAAAUUGACUUGGAACGCGUUGUGGAUGAUUUUAUAUUCAUAUGCUUCUUUGUUGGCAAUGAUUUCUUACCUCAUAUGCCUACACUCGAGAUUCGUGAGAUUUGUAUGUUGAAGAUGCAAUCAACUUGUUAAUGGCAGUAUACAAGAAGGAAUUUACAUCAUUUGGUGGUUAUUUGACUGAUGGAAGCAAGCCUAAUUUGAGCAGGGUAGAGCAUUUUAUCCAAGCUGUGGGGUCCUAUGAAGAUAAAAUAUUCAACAAAAGAGCACAGUUGCAUCAGACUUUCAGCAGCAUGAUCCCAAAAUUGUCAAGCAAAUUAGCCAAAUACGGGUGAAUCACCUUGGACUAAAUUUGACCAAAGAUGAUCUGCAAAACGUGGUUGAUUUAAUGGAGCCAUAUGGUCAAAUAAGCAAUGGAAUAGAAUAUCUAAAUCCUCCCACUGAUGUCAGUAACUAACUUGCUUGUCAUUUUAAAUAUGCAAGUCAAUUGCUAUUAAUAAUUUUCUGUUGGAUUCUUUUUGGACUGAAAAAUAAUUUCUGGGGAUAGUCUAAGAAUCUUAAAUUUUAUAGAAAGCCAAUAAAGUGCUUGCUGGACGAAAUGUGGUGAUUAAUUGAAUUGCAAGGUCAUACAUGCUGUUAAUUUUUUAAGAGCUGAUAAAUGGGUAUGACAUAGUGCUCAUAAAUGUUCUAAGGAUGUCUUUAGAUGAAUGAAAUUGUUUGAUAGUUUGAAGUUAUAAAUCUUUGUAUUGAUUUUUCUCAACAAUCUGAAGCCUGUUAUACUUAGCAAAUUUUUCUGUGAGAA